GAUGAACGCUAGCGACAGGCCUAAUACAUGCAAGUCGAACGAUAUUACCCAGCUUGCUGGGUAUGAAAGUGGCGCACGGGUGCGUAACGCGUAUGCAACCUACCUUAUUCAGGGGGAUAGCCCGAAGAAAUUCGGAUUAACACCGCAUAAAAUCACAGUUCAGCAUUGGACAAUGAUCAAAUAUUUAUAGGAAUAAGAUGGGCAUGCGUGUCAUUAGCUAGUUGGCGGGGUAACGGCCCACCAAGGCGACGAUGACUAGGGGAUCUGAGAGGAUGACCCCCCACACUGGUACUGAGACACGGACCAGACUCCUACGGGAGGCAGCAGUAAGGAAUAUUGGUCAAUGGAGGCAACUCUGAACCAGCCAUGCCGCGUGCAGGAAGACGGCCCUCUGGGUUGUAAACUGCUUUUAUUCGGGAAUAAACCUAUUUACGUGUAAAUAGCUGAAUGUACCGAAGGAAUAAGGAUCGGUUAACUCCGUGCCAGCAGCCGCCGUAA
rnacentral:rRNA from 1 species